GAUGAAGAACGCAGUGAAAUGCGAUAAUUAAUGUGAAUUGCAGAAUUCAGUGAAUCAUCGAGUCUUUGAACGCACAUUGCGCCCCCUGGUAUUCCGGGGGGCAUGCCUGUCCGAGCGUCAUUGCUGCCCUCAAGCACGGCUUGUGUGUUGGGCUUCCGUCCCUGGCAACGGGGACGGGCCCAAAAGGCAGUGGCGGCACCAUGUCUGGUCCUCGAGCGUAUGGGGCUUUGUCACCCGCUCCCGUAGGUCCAGCUGGCAGCUAGCCUCGAAACCAAUCUUUUUAACCAGGUUGACCUCGGAUCAGGUAGGGAUACCCGCUGAACUUAAGCAUAUCAAUAAGCGGAGGA
rnacentral:misc_RNA from 1 species